rnacentral:rRNA from 1 species
UAGGGAAUUUUCCACAAUGGGCGAAAGCCUGAUGGAGCAACGCCGCGUGCAGGAUGAAGGCUUUCGGGUCGUAAACUGCUUUUAUAUGUGACGAUAUUGACGGUAGCAUAUGAAUAAGGAUCGGCUAACUCCGUGCCAGCAGCCGCGGUCAUACGGAGGAUCCAAGCGUUAUCCGGAAUUACUGGGCGUAAAGAGUUGCGUAGGUGGCAUUGUAAGCGAGUAGUGAAAGCGUUCGGCUCAACCGGAUAAACAUUACUUGAACUGCAAAGCUAGAGGAUGAGAGAGGUAAUUGGAAUUCCCAGUGUAGGAGUGAAAUCCGUAGAUAUUGGGAGGAACACCGAUGGCGUAAGCAGAUUACUGGCUCAUUCCUGACACUAAGGCACGAAAGCGUGGGUAGCAAACGGG